GUCUAUGGCUAUACCACCCUGAACGUGCUUGAUCUCGCCUGAUCUCAGAAGCUAAGUAGGGUUGGGCCUGCUUAGUACUUGGAUGGGAGACAUAAAGA
rnacentral:rRNA from 1 species